rnacentral:rRNA from 1 species
CACGUAGGGUGCGAGCGUUGUCCGGAUUUAUUGGGCGUAAAGCGCUCGCAGGCGGUCCCGUGCGUCGUGCGUGAAAGGCCCCGGCUCAACCGGGGGCGGUCGUGCGAUACGGCGGGACUGGAGGCCAGUAGGGGGACGCGGAAUUCCGGGUGGAGCGGUGAAAUGCGUAGAGAUCCGGAGGAACACCGACGGCGUAGGCAGCGCCCUGGACGACACCUGACGCUGAGGCACGAAAGCUGGGGGAGCGAACAGG